CAAAAGUUGUUGGGUUUGGCUGGG
rnacentral:miRNA from 1 species